GGCGUACAGCCAGUUUCCUCCGCGGAGCGCGUCCUGUGCUGCCCCAGCCGUUGGGGCUCUCCACCCCGGGCCACAGCCUUCUGGCGCCCCCGGGGCCGGGGCAGCCGGGCCGAGGAGUGUCGGUGUGGUCAGGCUACGGGGCGGGGCCGGCGGGAGCUCCGGUCGCCGCCGCCGCUGCCUCCGCCUGCCUCUCGGGCUGCCCGCUCGCCCGCCGCUGGGUGCGCUGCACGCGGGGGGCAGCCGCGGUGCAGAGGUUCAUGCAGCGGCGGCUGCGGCGGCGGCUGCUGCUGCUGCCGCCGCGGAGGCAGACAGACCGGGCGCUACCACCGCCGCCCUCCCCCGGCUCCAUGCCGCCGCCGCUGCCGCCUCCUCCUCUCCAGCGAGGGGCGGGGGGCUCCGGCCCGGGGUGGGCACCACUCCUCGCAGCGCCGCUCCCCUCCCUGCCCUCCGCCCGGGCGCUGGAGCCGGCGAGGGCACCCGCCGACUCCUAGGAGUGCACCCUCCGCGCGCCCUGCCGGAGCGAGGGGGCGGGCGUGGGCGGGCGUCGGGGCAGCGGGGACCCCGCGCGGCUGCAAGAGGAGGGGGCUUCCCCAAGGAUGCCCGGCGGCUCCCCGCUCCUAGGUGCGAGCUGAGUCUGACCGGGAGCGAGCGGCGCGUCGCCAUGCCGGCGUGACGGGCGCCCCAGGCUGCCCGCGCGGGCCCCCGCGCUGCCCCACGCAGCGCCGUGCCGGCACCGUGCUGCAGGAUGGGCUGUAUCCAAAGCAUCACCUGCAAGGCGCGGAUCCGGCGCGAGAACAUCGUGGUGUACGAUGUGUGCGCCACCAUCGACCAGUGCCCCACGCGCAUCGAGGAGACCUCGCCCAUCGUCCUGCGCUACAAGACCCCCUACUUCAAAGCCUCCGCCCGUGUGGUCAUGCCCCCCAUCCCCCGCCACGAGACCUGGGUGGUAGGCUGGAUUCAGGCGUGCAACCAGAUGGAGUUCUUCAACACCUACAGCGACCUGGGCAUGUCAAGCUGGGAACUGCCUGACUUGAGGGAAGGGAGAGUAAAAGCCAUCAGUGACUCAGAUGGGGUGAGCUACCCUUGGUACGGGAACACCACAGAAACUGUGACCCUGGUUGGCCCCACCAACAAGAUCUCCAGGUUCUCCGUCAGCAUGAAUGACAACUUCUACCCCAGUGUGACAUGGGCAGUGCCUGUGAGCGACAGCAAUGUGCCGCUGCUCACAAGAAUCAAGAGAGACCAAAGUUUCACGACCUGGCUGGUGGCCAUGAACACCACCACAAAGGAGAAGAUCAUUCUGCAGACCAUCAAGUGGAGAAUGAGGGUGGACAUUGAGGUGGACCCUCUUCAGCUCUUGGGGCAGCGGGCCCGGCUGGUGGGCAGGACUCAGCAGGAGCAGCCCCGGAUCCUGAGCCGGAUGGAACCCAUCCCCCCUAAUGCACUAGUGAAACCCAAUGCCAAUGAUGCCCAGGUCCUCAUGUGGAGGCCCAAGCGGGGGCCACCUCUGGUUGUGAUCCCUCCUAAGUAGAAGCGGACUGGCCUGACUGUGUGUGGAUCACACGCCUCUGAGACAUGCAGUGAGGGUGCCAGGGGUGGCAGGAGCCAAACUGAGUUUCUGAGCCAAAGCAGACCUCUCGGUUUGCCAGCCUUUGCAGCCACUUUUGAAGAGUAGGGCUGCUCCUUGGGUGGUAGAACCAUAAUCCUUAGGAAAUCCCUUCCUCUUAGGAAUAAAGAAAUCACUGAUUUGACAGACUUGCUGUGAUUACCAUGCAAGUAGCCAUAUUUUGGAGCUGACCAGGAUGAUUCCUUUAUCUCAACUAUUCACCAUUUCUUUCCUGUGAGAUGCAGGGGAUGGAAACGAAAUUAAACAGUGCCUGUGGCAAAUGCUGCUUCCCAACCAAUUAGAAGUAGGAGUGAAAACAUCCACACCAGGUGGUCUCCUAGUAGGACAAGGAAAGCCCAGCAAGCACAACCACAUGGCAGAGACUGAGAAGGAGGAAGUGAGCAAUGGCUGGCGGCUCCAGAAGCUGAAUCCCUGGACAGCUGAUUUCCCAUUAAAACGUGUGCCAUCCUGCCUACCUCCUCGCCUUCUUCCCGUCCCAUGACCAGUCCCUCCUACCCACCCUCCAUGAUCCAUGUGGCACUUGCCCUGGGCUGACUGGGCUGCCUGCUUGGCCCAUGGGGAGCUGUGUUGAAGUGAGAAUUGUGCCUGCUGUAUCUUUUUGUGUGUGGAAAUAUGGGGUUCAUUCAGAUCCCGAGUCCUUUCCCCAACCCUUAAAGUGAAGCCUCCCAGGGAUGAAGAGCUGGUCAGCCUGGACUUUAAAUACCUAAGGUGGCCCAGCCUUGGUUCCCAAACCCUGCCUUCCCUCCCUAUGCUUUUGGGUGGGAAACGGGGGAUUUGUAUCUUCCUUCCUCCUCCUCCUCCAUGUGGGUGGCCUCUCUAGGUUUCUCUGCGUUCUCUGAUCGUUGGAGAGCCAGGGCCAAGGCAGUCAUCUUGUUCCCCCUUCCACGGCCAGGCUGGGUGCCUUCAGGUGACCGGGGCAGAGUGUAAGUCACCAGGAUCAAUGGGGUGAGGGGAAAACCACCUUAAGAGGGCAAAAAUGGUGUGCAUUGGUUUAUUUAUUGGUUUAUUUAUUGGCUUGCUUACUGAUGUAUUUAUUUAUAUUUAUUAUACAACACAAAAUCCAUUUCCAUUUUUUAAGCAUCAGCCCCAGAAUUUGUCUUCCUGGGCCCAUAGAGCACAGUGAAUUAUUUCUCUUUUAAGCUUCAGAAUAGAGAGGGAAAUUUUUCUCUUUAUGCCCAAACGCCUCCACCUCAGCCACAUUUUCAACCAGAUAUGGGAUUAGAAAUCACCAGCUAACAAGGCUGUAAAGUCACACAAAUCAGCAGAGGCUUGACUGUCUAGAUAGCUCUCAGAAUCCAGCCUCCACCCCAACCACCUUGCACCAGUCCUCUCAUUCUCCUUUACUCAGGUGGGGAUUGAGCAGCCACCUUCAGCCUAACAGUGCAGAACAAAACUUCUCAUUCUGCUCUGAUGUAGUAUUCUAACAUCAGAUGCACGUUAGAAUCAUCUGAGGAGCUUAAAAAAUAUCCAUGCCUGGUCCCCUGCCCAAACCAAUUAUAGCAUCUAAGGGUAGAUCCUGGGCAUCAGAGUUUUUUAAGUUACCCAGAUGACUCUAAUGUGAAAAUAGGGUUGGAAAGUUCUAGUAUCACCUCUCCCUUGCCCCUCCCCAUCCAGAUUCUUUCAUCUUUACUUCCCAAACUUUCUCUGGAGUCCUCUUCCCAUUCCUCCAGCCCCUUCUCUCUGCACCUUCCCCAUCAGCUCAGCCAACCAUAGCAGAUCCCUGGAGAGGGGGCAGGUCCCAUGAGUGGUACUCUGAGGCUGGUUCCUGCAUCCAGCCUGGGGGCUGCUCCCAAACAAUUUCCAGCUUUUCUAGGAGCAGAAACCUAUCCUCUGCAAGAUUCUCUGUUCACCUGCACCUUCUCCAGGUUCCCAAACUCCAAAAGUUUAAAGGGCACUUUGGCGACAUUUCUGUCUCCGAGCCCCAAUCUUGAUGGUAUGGCCCAUGUAAGUCUUAUAACCCAAGCCUUGGCCAUUUCUGCAGAGCCACCUGAGUUGAAUGAGGAUCUACUGUUAACAGAGAAAGGGGUCACAAUGCUCCCCCAGCAAGUCCUUUUUCCAACAACCAACCUCCUCAGCCAUCUAGGAUUUGGAUGCACAAUGCAGCAGCUACUGUGCAUUCAAAUCCUAGAUGGCUGAGAAGAGGCAUCUCACCCUUCACAUCUACAAGAUCUCCACUGCUGGGUAUGAGUAAAUGUGUGUGUGAGUGCGUGUACAUGUACAUGUGCACACACUAUCUACAUACAAACCACCUAGAUCUAUAGAGAUGCCAGACUUCACUUUACAUGUGAUUACAUUUUAGAUGAAAACAGUUGAGGGCUUUCGUUAUCUUUCACUUGAUGGAGUUUCACUGUAUUAUGUUCAUGAUGGGCCCCAGUGAAUUCCAUAUCAGGUAUAUACAUAGAAUGUAUAAUAUAUACAAACUGUUAGACACACUACACACACACACACACACAAACACACACACAAACACACGCACAGAAAGCCUAGGGAAACCUGUGAUGUGGGUAAGUUCAUUUUGCCAUCCCAUCUCCUCCAUCUAAGUAAUUUCCCGGGCCAAGCAUUAUUUCACACACUCCCCUCAGCUGCCCAGCCAUUCCCUCUCCAGCGUCCCAUACCAUCAAGCCUUCUUUCCCCAUCAGUCCAAAUGUCCCUGCCCUAUGUCCCAUCUCUCAGGGUCCUACUCUCUGAUAGGUGACAGUUCAGUCAGUGGGUGCUAAAGAGUCGAGUGUUACCCUCCCCAGGUGACAUUUACGUUUUAAUAGGGGCUACAGAUAAUGCCUUAAUCAGAAAGAGUGGCUGUAGUGGUGGGAAUUUCAGGCACAGAAGUGCCAGUAAGGGAGAUUCUUUUAUAUCAGAAGGGCAUUUUAGAGCCCCCAAAUCAUACCUGUCUGUAAGCGCAGCGCUUCAUAAGUGCAUGAGCACAAGCAAGCACACUUACCUACAUUAUACCCUCCAUAAUUUUGAGAUACCUCCCUUGCACUGGCCCUAUCUUUAAAAUGAAAAAAAACAACAACAACAAAAAAACAAAAACAAAAACAAAACAGAGAACUAGCUAAAUUAAUUUAGAUCUCACUGGGAAACGUAGCCUAUUUUUUCACCGGCUGCCAGCCAUCUGGCCCACCCCACCCUGUUCAAUUUCCCUUCUGCUCUUUCUCUUUUCAGCUACGACCGACUGUAUCAGUUAAUUUACUUGUACGUGUCCUCUCUGCUCUCUCCUUACCCUGCUCCCCUACACCGUGUAUUUCCUUCCUUUACCAUUUCCUCCUUGGAAUUGUGCUGUGUUUCAUUGUCCUGGAGGACAGAAGAGCAGGUUAAGGCAUGAGCAUGUGUGUAUCACUUUGAAGAAAGAGAAACCAGGUAUUCUGCUACAGUUUGGAGAAAAACCCAACGAAGGAAGAGAUGAAAGCUGGCUCUGCAGAGUGCCUUAAAAAUGACUUUAAUUAGGAAAUUCUGAGUUGUCGGCCUUCAAAUGUUACAUAAACUCAAACAGAUGUUGCAUUUCACUUCUCUGGGAUUAAAAAAAGUUAAAUACAGUGUGUAUUCAACAACAACAAAA